rnacentral:rRNA from 1 species
UUUAAAUUGAGAGUUUGAUCCUGGCUCAGGAUGAACGCUGGCGGCGUGCCUAAUACAUGCAAGUCGUACGCUAGCCGCUGAAUUGAUCCUUCGGGUGAAGUGAGGCAAUGACUAGAGUGGCGAACUGGUGAGUAACACGUAAGAAACCUGCCCUUUAGUGGGGGAUAACAUUUGGAAACAGAUGCUAAUACCGCGUAACAACAAAUCACACAUGUGAUCUGUUUGAAAGGUCCUUUUGGAUCGCUAGAGGAUGGUCU